rnacentral:rRNA from 1 species
UCAGCCGCCGCGGUAAAACGUAGGAGGCGAGCGUUAUCCGGAUUUACUGGGCGUAAAGCGCGCGCAGGCGGGUCAGUGAGUCGGACGUGAAAGCUCCUGGCUUAACUGGGAGAGGCCGUUCGAAACUGCUGGGCUUGAGGUUGGGAGAGGGGUGCGGAAUUCCCGGUGUAGUGGUGGAAUGCGUAGAUAUCGGGAGGAACACCUGUGGCGAAAGCGGCACCCUGGCCCACACCUGACGCUGAGGUGCGAAAGCGUGGGUAGCAAACAGGAUUAGAUACCCUGGUAGUCCACGCCGUAAACGAUGUCAACUGGGUGUUGGUGGUGUUACACCAUCAGUGCCGAAGCAAACGCGUUAAGUUGACCGCCUGGGGACUACGGCCGCAAGGCUAAAACUUAAAGGAAUUGGCGGGGGA